GACGUACGCUGGCGGCGCGCUUAACGCAUGCAAGUCGAACGGAAAGGCCUGCUUUCCCUUGUGGAUUGCGGGUACUCGAGUGGCGAACGGGUGAGUAACACGUGAGUGAUCUGCCCCCAACUUGGGUAUAAGCCUGGGAAACUGGGUCUAAUUCCCGAUAGGACUGCAGGGUGGUGCCUGUGGUGGAAAACGAUUUUCUAGUGGUUGGGGAUGAGCUCGCGGCCUAUCAGCUUGUUGGUGGGGUAAUGGCCUACCAAGGCGGCGACGGGUAGCCGGCCUGAGAGGGUGGACGGCCACAUUGGGACUGAGAUACGGCCCAGACUCCUACGGGAGGCAGCAGUGGGGAAUAUUGCACAAUGGGCGGAAGCCUGAUGCAGCGACGCCGCGUGGGGGAUGACGGCCUUCGGGUUGUAAACUCCUUUCGACCGCGAGGAAGCCACCUGGUUGGAAGGGUGGUGACGGUAGUGGUAGAAGAAGCACCGGCUAACUACGUG
rnacentral:rRNA from 1 species